GCUUUGCGGGGUCCUUCUACCACCAAACCGCGAUAAGCAUCCCCUUCACCACCGUUGCAGACUUCAUCGCCGACGUCAAGAAGCUCCGCGACGCCCACUCCAACGCACUCUGCGGCACCGAGCUGUACUUUGGCUUCUUCAUGCGCUUUCUCCGCAACUCCACGGCCUAUCUUGGNNNNNNNNNNNNNNNNNNNNNNNNNNNNNNNNNNNNNNNNNNNNNNNNNNNNNNNNNNNNNNNNNNNNNNNNNNNNNNNNNNNNNNNNNNNNNNNNNNNNNNNNNNNNNNNNNNNNNNNNNNNNNNNNNNNNNNNNNNNNNNNNNNNNNNNNNNNNNNNNNNNNNNNNNNNNNNNNNNNNNNNNNNNNNNNNNNNNNNNNNNNNNNNNNNNNNNNNNNNNNNNNNNNNNNNNNNNNNNNNNNNNNNNNNNNNNNNNNNNNNNNNNNNNNNNNNNNNNNNNNNNNNNNNNNNNNNNNNNNNNNNNNNNNNNNNNNNNNNNNNNNNNNNNNNNNNNNNNNNNNNNNNNNNNNNNNNNNNNNNNNNNNNNNNNNNNNNNNNNNNNNNNNNNNUGUGUCACUUCCUCUUUGAAUAAACGACGUAAUGUCAGUCAAUAAUUGCUACAUAAUAUUAUAUUGUAAUAUUAAAGCAAGGGUCGACAAAUGCUAUAUUGUAUGGGAGGCUGAUUACGUUCCUUCUGAUUUAUCUGUACUGGUCCAAGAUGACUUAUACAAGCCAUUCUAUGGAACUAUAAUGUCUUAAUCAAUUUCUUUAUGGGAAAACAAUUAGUGCAUAAUUUCUCAUUAUUUUUAAUAGCAAGAUCCCAAUGUGACUCGCCAGUAUCCGUUGCAUGAAAGGGACGAGGUAGCAAGAAAUAACGGUGCCAUUAUUAGUGCCAUCGUGUGGAGAGACAUAGUAUGUUAACGUGAUAUUCUUCGCUGUUGCUAAAGGAUGAAUAUCUAGAUCCAUUCGAUUAUGAGUUAUAUACGACUUACGAGUCUUACAUUCAUGAAAAAUUAACCAACUCUCUAUUUAGUGGAAUGAGAGAGAGAAUUAUUGAGUUGCUGGAACUUAUACAUAGUGAUGCAUGUGGUCCUGUGUUUAUUCAUGCCAUAAAAGGUUAUUCUUAUUUUAUUAUAUUUACUGAUGAUUUCUUUAUAUAUGAACAAGUAUACUUGAUGAAAUACAAGUCCAAGACCUUCUAGAAAUUCAAAAAUAUAAGAAUAGUGUAGAAAAUUAGAUUGGAAAGAGUAUCAAGACUCUUCAAUCAAAUCGAGAAGGUGAGUACUUAAGUGUAAAGUUUACACAGUUCCUCAAGGAUCAUGAGAUUCUAUCUCAAUGGAUACCUCAUUAUACACCUCAACUCAAUAGUAUAUUGGGAACGAGGAAUCGCAUGUUGGCACGCUAUUAAAAAUGGUGUGGUCUAUGAUGAGUUUCGCCAGCCUACCCAUCUCAUUCUAAGGAUAUGCCUUAGAGUCUGCAGCUUGCCUUCUGAACAGAAUUCCGAUUAAGUCGGUAGUGUCUACACUAUAUGAGAUAUAGAAAGGGAAGAAGUCUGAUCUUAAGGUUGUUAAGAUUUGAAGCUGCCCUGCCCACGUUAGAACAUACAACCCCGACAAAUUGAAAUCUAGGACGGAACGAUGCAAAUUCAUAGGAUAGCCUGAGAAACCUUGUGGGUAUUAUUUCUAUCAUCUCGAGGACUAAAAAGUCUUUGUAGCUAAGAGGGUAGUAUUCCUUGAGAAAAAACACAUUCUCGGUAGAGAAAAUAAGAGCAUGAUAGAGUUGAGUGAGGUUUGAGAACCACAACCCGAGUUUGUUUAGAUACAUAGCACAUAAAUUUUGACUUUAUGUAGGUCCAACAUAGUACCCCAUCCUCCUAAAAGAUAUGUGAGAUAUAUCAAAAGAGAUGAUGUUGAGGAUAUUGAUCUUUAGAUCUAUGAUGAGGCUAUUAUAAGUAUAGACUCCGUGAAGUGGCAAGAAGCAUGAACUCUAAGAUGGAUUCCAAGUAUUUCAAAAAGGUUUAGAACUUAGUUGAUGCACCUGAGGGUAUGUACCCAUUGGUUGUAAGUGUAUCUUUCAGAAGAUGAUUGGAGUAAAUAGAAAGGUGAAGAUCUAUAAAGAAAAGCUAGUGGUUAAGGGAUAUCAUCAAAGGUAAGGUGUUGACUAUGAUGAAACAUUCUCACUUAUAGUUAUGCUAAAAUUUAUUCGAAUUCUAUCGGUUAUUGCAACAUUCUAUGAAUAUGAGAUCUAGUAGAUGGACAUGAAAAUCAUGUUUCUCAACAACAACUUCGAGAAGGAGAUGUAUAUAAUAUAAUAUAAGAGAUUUGUGUCCAAAGAAUAUCCGUAUAAUAUGUGUAGGUUGCUUAAGUUCAUUUAUAAACUAAAGCAAGCUUUCCGAAAUUGGAACAUGAGGUUUGAUGAGACGAUCAAAUCUUAUUAUUUCGUUAAGAAUGAAGAUGAGCCUUGAGUGUAUAGGAAGACAAGUGAGAGUGCUAUCAACUUCUUAGUACUAUAUAUGGAUGACAUUCUGAUCAUUGAGAAUGAUAUAUGAAUGCUCUUCAUGGUAAAAGCUUAGUUAUCUAGACAUUUUUUCAUAAAAGACUCAGGGGAAGUAUCAUAUAUCUUGGCGAUUCAGAUCUAUAGAGAUAGAUCUAAGAGAAUACUUGACUUGUCUCAAUUUAAGUAUAUAGACAUCAUUAUCAAAAAGUUUAACAUGAAAAAAUCUAAAAGAUCUCUCGUAUCGAUGAGAUAUGAGAUAUCACUUUCUAGGAGCAUGUCACUAAAUACUUUUGAAGAAAGGGCAAACUUAGAUAGGAUACCCUAUGCCUUAGGAUCUAUCAUGUAUAUUAUGUUAUAUAUCAUGCUUGAUAUAACGUAUGCUUUAUGUGUUACAAGUAAAUAUUAGGUGGAUCCAGGUUUAAAACAUUGGAAUGUAGUAAAAUAUAUAUUUAAAUACUUGAGAAGGACUAAGGAUCUUUUACUGGUAUAUAGAUGAAGUAGCCUCAGGGUUGAGGGUUAUAGAGACUUGAGUUUCCAAUCCGAUGUUGAUAAUAAUAAGUCUAAUUUAAGGUAUAUGCCCUAAAUAGAGGAGUAGUAUGCUAGAAAAGUUUCAAGCAAGAUACUACUACUGACUCGACCAUAGAAGCGGAGCACAUUACUGUAAUAAAAGCAACGAAAGAAAGAGUUUGAAUGAAAAAGUUCAUUACAGAUCUGAGCCACAAAGGCAGUAGUGGCCCACAUGCCACCUUGUUCUUUACACAAGGGUUAUGAGUGAAGUACACAUAGGUAGGGCCAUAGUGCUAGUCAUAGGUGUCGUACAAGCCAAUCAUGUGAGUGAUGAUACAUAUGACAUGAUACGUACUCUUUUUACUUAUUAUUUUUUUUAUAUUUUUCUUACUUUAUGUUGCAUGUUGCAUGUAUAUUGAUGUCUACGAAUAUGCACAAUGAGAAUUAAAUUGUGAUAAGAUCACAAUAAUAAGAUCGAUUCACCUUUAAAUAUAGACCAUAAAAAAUCAUAAUUAUAGGUUACUCGAAAGUGACAUCGAAAUAACUGGACAGAUUGGUGUAUUGUAUACCUUUCUAUAUGAUGGAGAUAGUUGGUUUUAUAGUUUCUUGUGUGAGGACACUAGGGAUAUAGUACAAGUAUUAAUUGAAGAAUGAGUUUACUGAUUGAUCCACUCACGAAAUACUGGAUGGUUGAUGAUACCUCAUUGGGUGUAACAACCAAUCUUAGUAGGCUAAUUGAGUAUCGAUAGAGGAUUAUCCACUCUCGGUAUCAUGAGAGAAAUAUUAUAUAUAUUCUUACUUAAGUAAAUCCCUAGUUAGGAUUAUUCGAAUUGAGAGAGAAAAAGUCUUUCGAGAGAAUUCGAUUAGAGCGAGACUCGAGUAAAAACUGUAUAGGCCUAAUAGCACCAUGAUCGGUAUAUGGUCUAUGAGAUAUUAGAAAGAUAAGAGACUAUAGAUACAUGGUAAUUGAGGACAAAUAGGUCCAAUGGAUUGGAUUCUCUUAUAACAUUUGAGGACUGCGACGUAGUGGCCUAGUAUGUUCAUAGUCGAUAAAUCAAGUGAAUUAUUAUAAAAGAUAAUAAUUCACUAAAUCAUAAGGAGUUCUAAUAUGACUCACGAUUAACUCAAUAUUGGGCCUAGAGGGUCACACAUAUAUGAUAGAUGUUGGAACAAACAAAGGUUCGGACAUGAGAUAUCCGUUGAAGCCCCUAUCUUAUUGGAUAUCCAGUAAUCCCUUGAAUUAUUGAAUAUCCAGUAAGUCCAUGAAUUAUUGGAUCUUGUACUCACUUUUGUAGGGGGAGCUGUGUCAUGGCAAUCCACAUUAUAAAGGCGUAGUGCUCUCUCCACCAAAGAGACAAAAUAUAUUGCUGCAGAGGUUUGCAAAAAAAUAUUAUGAAUAAAAUUUUUUUUACAAGAAUUGAAGCUGAAAUAAAAAAAGUUAUGUGGUAUAUUGUGAUAGCUAGAGUGCCAUCCACGUAUGUAAGAAUCCCAUUUUUUAUUCCAAGUUAAAGUAUAUAGAUGUUAGAUACCACUAAAAUUAAAAUAUAUUUAAAGAGAAGCAGUUGUAACAUCAGAAAAUUCAUAUAAAUGAUAACGGGACAAACAUGUUGACAAAGAUUUUGCUGAAAGAAAGAUAAGAAAUGUGCCGACGAUUGGUCGACAUGACUUCAUAUUUAAGAGCUGAAGGGGGAGGUUAUUGGGCACAUACCCAUUAAUUAAGUCCAUAGUAGACCUUAAUAAUGCAUAGCUCAAAACAACUAUUUAACCAUUUCUCUUUUACAAGGCAAAAAGGGGACUUGCUGUUGUUGUGGGCAUGGUUGAAAAAAGAAAAUUACAACAGUGGUGGUUGAGAGAAAAAAAGACAAGACAAUGUAGAAAUCGUUUUCAAUUAUCUGCGCACUAUUCUAGUCUCAGAUUUGAUCAGACUUGUAACAGAUUUUUAUUAUGAUUAUGAAAGGAAUGAGGUUUUAGAUAAUGUAAUCUUUGUAUUCUUAUUAUUCUCUUAUGAUUAUUGCUCAAAUCUAAGAUUUAUAAUAGAUUUAUACAUUCACUAUCGAGAUUUAUAUAUUUAUUAUUUUUAUAAUAGAUUUACUUCUUGGCUUACCAUAUGAUUUUUUUUUUCAUUUGUAUCGAAGAGGAUUUUUACAUACAUUUUGAUGUUCUAUGUGACUAAUUUUCGUUUAAUUUUUUUACUGCUUAUUACGAUCUACUCGUAUUUAUUCAUAUAUAAGUUUUUUUUACCCAUCAUAUUCCAAAAUAAUGAAGUUGGCUUCAUGCUACUAAUUUCUUUGACGGGAAAUGCGUCUAAAUGUGCUCGUCCAACUGAUGCUUUCUCAAUCUUGAUGUUCCAAUUGAUCAAACGCACAUUCGGUGUUCGUGAACAUACGUUGAAGAUCGCGGAAGGGGUUUUUUUGGCUUGCUGUGGAUUGUGUUGAGAAACACACGAGGCCAGAGAAGUCCCUGUGAAGUUGCGAAGGCAAGGGAAGAUAAUAGUGCAGGACAUUACCAAUGGCUUGGCUUUUAUUCCCUGUAAAGGCGAGGGAUGAGAUUGACUGAUGAUCUAAUAUUAUAUUGCAGUGUUGAGGGUGUCCAAUCAUCGGAGGUCUGACAGUAGCUGAAGGUGUGCCUUAAAAAACAAAAAACAGCAUGUCAGUAUGACAUGUCCUAUAAACAAUAAAAAAAAACUUUGUCAGUACGUGAUUAAGUUAAAAAAAAUAAAAAAGGUAUGUGAUUAAGUAAUUUAGUAGUUGAUAAGAGUAGACUGGCCUCUGAUGUGCUAUCCAGACUUCAUCAACCCAUGGUCAAUACCUUGGCAAUAUAAGGGUGACAGUUCAGCAACAUGUAGUCGGCUUUUCAACAUAAAAUAGAUAGGACAUGAAGCUUUUCAACUCCCAAUGUGUAAUAUGAGGCGGCCUCAUAGAUUCAAUGAAUUUACUGUCUACGUAAACUCAUAACUAUAUCUUUGAUUCUCAUGAUCAUUAUUCAAUUCCCUACAACUGUCUACUACACCAUAAAAAUAAACCUGAUUUGGAUUACACUCUAAAGACUUAUUUUUAUUAAGUUUAUUAAUUUAAGCAUUGAAAUAAUUUUAUCCUAUAUAGUCCCGAGUGAAUGGAUUUGAAGUUCAUUAUUCUUCUUAUAAUAUUCUUAGAAAAAAAGGUUCAUGGAUUUGAGUUAUCCUCUAGUCCGACAAUCAAAAUUCAUUGUAAUAUUAUAAAAUAAAAAUAAAGUAUGUGUCAAUUUUGAGUUUGUUUUGUCUAUGCUCGACGAUAGCAAGAGGGAGGGUUUGCUGCAGCCAUCCUUCUACUAUUUUGAUCCCAUCGUAAGGCAUGCAUGACCAACCAACCUUGCCCAAGAUAGUACUCCAUGCAACCAUCACUAGCAUAGUAUGUCAACACGAUCUUGGAUAUCAUUUCUUACGAUAAUAAUAAUGAUAAGAAUGUUGCGUCCCACGUUGAUGUUCUUGUCGGUUUUCUUAAAAUUCAACUCGGCUCACUUACGUGAUUGACAUAAAUGAGUCACAAUGGGUGCGUAUCUAAUUUUUUUUACUCUAAGCUCCUCUUAUUGGACGUCCAUGCAUCGAUAAGUAUAUCUAAGCAAUAUGGAUGACACGGCACCGAGACUUUUACGUAGACGUCUCUCGCACAUCAUCGCCGAUUUCCUCAGAGACUUUGAGACGCAAAACUGACAACUCUUCUACCUCUCUCUAUGAAUUAAGUACUUAAUCUCGUUCUUGCAUCACGCAGCCUUUACCCGGAACCGAGACAUUGACAAUUAUGAGCCAUAUCAACACUUCAUAUUUUUCAGGAUUGCAUAAUCUCUUGCUAAGUCAACGUGCUUUAUCUCCCUUAUUUUAUAUGAUUUUUUUCGGACACCUAAUUGUUACGUAAACCGUGAUCAAGCUAUCUAUCGAAUUUAACCUAUAUAUAUAUAUACCCAGACCAACUCUGGACAAUCAUCAUGGCUGCUACACGCAUUGCCCUGUUCGCGUCCGGCCUCGCCGUCUUGCUUCUCCUAGUCCAAGGAUCGCCACCAGGGCCCGUUGUCCAGUGCCGGUCCGGCAACACUAACUGCACCGUGACCAACGGCUAUGGAGCCUUCCCUGAUCGCAGCACCUGCCACGUCGCCGCGGUCGCGUACCCUUCGACCGAACAGGAGCUCCUGUUCGCUGUCUCCGACGCCACCGCGAAGCAGCAGCACAUGAAGGCGGUCACGAGGUACUCCCACAGCAUCCCCAAGAUGUCGUGCCCCGGCGGGCCGAGUGGCCAGGGCCUGGUCAUUAGCACCCAGCGCCUCAACAGAUCGGUGAGCGUGGACAUGGCCACCUCGCGGAUGACGUUCGAGGCAGGGAUCACACUUAGGCAGCUCCUCAACGCGGCGGCCGCCCGUGGACUGGCGCUGCCCCACUCGCCGUAUUGGCAAGGGGUGACGCUGGGAGGGCUGCUGAGCACCGGCUCGCACGGGAGCUCGUUGUUCGGGAAAGGCUCAGCGGUGCACGAAUAUGUGGUGGGGAUGAGGCUGGUGGUUCCAAGUCCGGUCCCGGUGAACGGAUACUACGCCAAGAUCGUUAACCUUGGUGAGGAUGAUCCUGAUCUCUUGGCUGCCAAGGUUUCUCUCGGUGUUCUCGGAGUUAUUUCUCAGGUAUAUAUGUAGUGACCUAAGUGUUAUUCUUUGUUCUUUACACAGUUUGAGAUCCAUGUGAUAACUCAUCUUAGUUCUUCAUCGUGGUUCUUCCAACCACGUCAAGUACUUUCAUGAACUGAGUGCAUGACUUGCCACGCCUCGAUGCUAACUAGGUGCAACUAUUUCUUUAAUUCUUCAUGAUAUAAUAGAGAUCAUCCUAUUGUUAUUAACAAGGCUUUGUUUGCAAUACGUCAGCAAAAUGUCUAGACAAAAAAAAAAUGUUUUCUACAAAUCACUUUACAAAGGAGAAGACCUGUUCUUUUCCUAGAAUCUAGAAAGUAAUGUAAAAUAAUAGGCAGUCGAUGAUCCCAGUGGACUUUAGUUUUAAUCUUUCCAUUUUUUCUUGGUUUGCUCGACUUCCUUGUUUCAAAAUGGGCUAAUGCAAACCUUUGAACCGUUCUAAUGAUUCCAUAUAGCUUCUCUCGUAGUUUAUAGUAACUACACAACACAAUUGAGUGUUAUGAAACAUAUGAGCACAUGCAAACCCACAUGGACAAAGAUCAGAGAAAAAGCAAACUUAUAUGAGAGCGAGUGCAUGAUUUGAAGCUUUGCAUUUACUUACAUCUUAUAAUGAAUAGUAUUUUCCUUGUAAGAACACCUACAGUGACGUUGAUGAUGGCUCGGUGUAAAUGAGAGUGGCCCUUCACAUACGGAGCCUCGCGCAAGGCAAGAGGCAGGCAGGUCCAUACUGCCUUGCCUUGCAGAGCUUACGACCGGGCCCACUAAUUGCCUUCAAAGCCUCUGUAAAAAGAACUACUACAUCGGACGAUAGAGGAUCCUAGUAGUAGUAUCUCUUGUUUCAAUCUUGUUGCCUGAAUAGCUGAAAAGAGUUGACUUGCAAUACAUGUAAGCUUUUGUUCUGCUGCUUCAUUAUAAGUAACCUAAGAAAUUACUUGAACCGAUCGAGCAGGUCACCCUCCAACUUGAGCCAAUGUUCAAGCGAUCCAUCACCAACAGGGUCGUAGGCGACGUUGGCUUCGAGCAAACCAUCUCCUCGUACGCUGUCACCACGUACUAUGGAGACCUCAGCUGGUAUCCGUCACAAGGCAGAGUGGUGUACCGCGAUGAUAUCAAGGUCCCCAUCACCACCAAAGGAAAGGGUGUAAACGAUCACCUUUUCCUUCGAGCACAGCCCACCCUCGACGUAGCCUCUACACGUGCUUCAGGUCUUAUAUAUUGCAGCUUUUAUUUUGCUUGACAAUCUUGAUGUAGUGUUCGAGCAGUAUCGUACGAGAUUUAUACUGACAAGGCAUCUCUUGUCCUCUACCAUGUGUUUGUGUUUAUGACUGCAGAGGAACUAUUGGAAUUAACAGGAAAUGCCGGAGGCAAAUGCGUGCUUUCCAGAUCGCAUGUAGAUACUCAGAUCGCGAACGGCAUGGGGCUUAAGAACAAUGACGGCGGCUUGUCAGAUUUCACCGGCUAUCCAGUCAUUGGAAACCAAAGCGACAUGCAAUCCUCCGGUGGGUUCUCCAAUUAUCCGAAGAAUGUAUAUGAUGACACAUGUUACACCUGUAUUCUGUAUUAUUUAGUCUGAGGCAUCUUCUCUCCAGGUUCGUGCCUAAGGAGUGCAGAAGACAACCUUCUCACAGCCUGUGCAUGGGACCCUCGCUUUGCGGGGUCCUUCUACCACCAAACCGCGAUAAGCAUCCCCUUCACCACCGUUGCAGACUUCAUCGCCGACGUCAAGAAGCUCCGCGACGCCCACCCGAACGCACUCUGCGGCACCGAGCUGUCCUUGGGCUUCUUCAUGCGCUUCCUCCGCAACUCCACGGCCUAUCUUGGNNNNNNNNNNNNNNNNNNNNNNNNNNNNNNNNNNNNNNNNNNNNNNNNNNNNNNNNNNNNNNNNNNNNNNNNNNNNNNNNNNNNNNNNNNNNNNNNNNNNNNNNNNNNNNNNNNNNNNNNNNNNNNNNNNNNNNNNNNNNNNNNNNNNNNNNNNNNNNNNNNNNNNNNNNNNNNNNNNNNNNNNNNNNNNNNNNNNNNNNNNNNNNNNNNNNNNNNNNNNNNNNNNNNNNNNNNNNNNNNNNNNNNNNNNNNNNNNNNNNNNNNNNNNNNNNNNNNNNNNNNNNNNNNNNNNNNNNNNNNNNNNNNNNNNNNNNNNNNNNNNNNNNNNNNNNNNNNNNNNNNNNNNNNNNNNNNNNNNNNNNNNNNNNNNNNNNNNNNNNNNNNNNNNNNNNNNNNNNNNNNNNNNNNNNNNNNNNNNNNNNNNNNNNNNNNNNNNNNNNNNNNNNNNNNNNNNNNNNNNNNNNNNNNNNNNNNNNNNNNNNNNNNNNNNNNNNNNNNNNNNNNNNNNNNNNNNNNNNNNNNNNNNNNNNNNNNNNNNNNNNNNNNNNNNNNNNNNNNNNNNNNNNNNNNNNNNNNNNNNNNNNNNNNNNNNNNNNNNNNNNNNNNNNNNNNNNNNNNNNNNNNNNNNNNNNNNNNNNNNNNNNNNNNNNNNNNNNNNNNNNNNNNNNNNNNNNNNNNNNNNNNNNNNNNNNNNNNNNNNNNNNNNNNNNNNNNNNNNNNNNNNNNNNNNNNNNNNNNNNNNNNNNNNNNNNNNNNNNNNNNNNNNNNNNNNNNNNNNNNNNNNNNNNNNNNNNNNNNNNNNNNNNNNNNNNNNNNNNNNNNNNNNNNNNNNNNNNNNNNNNNNNNNNNNNNNNNNNNNNNNNNNNNNNNNNNNNNNNNNNNNNNNNNNNNNNNNNNNNUGUGUCGCUUCCUCUUUGAAUAAAAGACGUAAUGUCAGUCAAUAAUUGCUACAUAAUAUUAUAUUGUAAUAUUAAAGCAAGGGUCGACAAAUGCUAUAUUGUAUGGGAGGCAGAUUACGUUCCUUCUGAUUUAUCUGUACUGGUCCAAGAUGACUUAUACAAGCCAUUCUAUGGAAAACAAUUAGUACAUAAUUUCUCAUUAUUUUUAAUAGCAAGAUCCCAAUGUGACUCUCCAGUAUCCGUUGCAUGAAUGGGACGAGGAAGCAAGAAAUAACAGCGCCGUUAUUAAUGCCAUCGUGUGGAGAGAUAUAGUACGUUAACGCGAUAUUCUUCGCUAUCGCUCCUUAAAAUAAUAAUGAUGAUUAAUGAUAAUAUAGCCUAAGACUCACGUAAAUGUUCUGAUGAAUUUUACAUAAAUUACACUUGACCCACGUUUCAUGGCAUAAAUGAAAUGGUAGUUCACACCGGUUCCAUUUCAAAAUUUUGACUCAAAGCUCGUCCUAUGGAUCGCUAGAAUAAACCAUAUGAUAAGCUACAUAAAUACGGAAAUCACAAAGAAGGAUGAUUACUGUAAUUAUGCCUUCCUCGAUCCCCCCAACCCCAAGAAACUAUUGCUCUCUAUAAAUAACUCUAGGGCGCAGCAUCCAAUCAUUGGUUUGUUCCUUUCUCAUCCUCGCAGUAUAAUUUAGAGAUAGGAAGUGGUCGCACCAUGAUCGAGGGAAACAGCAGCGAGAGCAAGCUGAGCCAAUACAUCCGGUCCCCGACCGGGCGCUCCGGCAUGCACGGGACUUGUACGAGAGCAGCAUGGCCGGGACCGAUAAUAUAUGUAUACAUGUCUUGUGAUAAUCUCACGUAAGCUCAUUCAUCUACACAAAAUAACUAGUUUUAGAUCGGGCAAGACAUCCAGAAGUAUUGAUUGUUUAAUAGACGACAGUGUUUAUUUAUGUGCGUGCUUGUUUUCAUCUUAAAAAAAGGAAAUGGCGAAUUCCUAAAACAAUUAUCAACUUUAAGAAUUUUUCAAAUAGCAUUAUAGCAAUUUUUUUAAGACAGAUCAUUCUACCUCUAUCGGCCAUCAUCUUCGCCUUCACAUUGCCAUCGUUGCAGUCCCCCAUAGCCCUCACGCUAGGAAAAUUGGAUUGCGAGGGCCAUUAAUUUCUUCCUGCACCACCUCCCCUCCCCUCUGCUGUAUUAGGCCAAUCAUAUGCAGUCUUCAUGCGAGGAAGGAAGAGACAUGAGAGGAGUCAUCGCCUUUGUAGACUCACCCCUAUACACUUCGCUCGUAGCUCUCGUGUGAGGAAGAACAUGGUGGGAGGGUGGCACCUUCGCAGAUUUGGCCCCUGUCAAACCCAUCAUAAUCUAAUUUAGAUUAUACUAUAAAGACUUAGACUUUUACUGAGUCAACUGAAUCUUUUGAUAAUGCAAAUAUUAUAUAGGUCUUAUCAGGUAUGUUCUCAUAUCUUUUGACAAUACAAACAUUAUAUGGGCAUGUUCUCAGUUCAAUAUUGUAGUUUUGCAAGUCUGAUGUGAGUAGAUUUGGUGUUCUACCUGGUUCUUUUUAUGAAAUUUUUGAAAAAAAAAAUCUAUCUAAUAUGUAUUGUCAAAACAUAAACAUAAUCUAAAAGUAUCUCUUAGAUAUCUUAAUAUCUAUUUUACUAUUAUCUAAUAUUCUUUAUCAAGAUUAGAGAGAAAUGAACUGACAACUCGAACUGCAUGAGCUAUAUCUAGCCUAGUACAUAUCAUAAUAUACAUCAAACUAUUUACCGCAAAUGAAUAAGGCACUUUGAAUAUUUCUUCUUUUUCUUUCUCACUUGUAGGAUCUCACUUAUAGGAUAUUGUUUCGAACUAAGUAUAAAAUGACCUACAAGUGGAGAACAAACUAGUUAAGUUUUAUUUAUUUUAAAAUUUUCAAGAAUAUUUUUAAUAUAGGACUCUUGAGAUAGCCAAAUCAUUCCAUUCUACACCCACACACACACGAACCUCCAAGAGUUCUAGUUUGUAUACUACAAACAUCAGUAAACCAAAUCAAUAACAUUUGAUAUUCUAAAUGAUGAAUAAGUAUGAAAGGUAACUAUAUAUUUUUUUUCUACUAAGCAAUGAUCACAAGAUUUAAAAGAUGUAUCUUACAACUCUGGUAAGAACUAUUUUCUAGCAAGAGUUUGAAGUCCUUUCUUGCUGAUAUGACCAAGCCUCUUAUGCCAAAGAUUUAUACUUUCACCCUUUUGAAUUGCAUUAAUCUCUCCUUUAUAUAGCUUAGCUUCUAUGACAUAGAAAGAGUUUAGCUUCUUUACUCUCAUCACAACUAGAUAACUUUUGGUAAGCUUUCAUUUGCUUUCACCAAAAUAGUGUACAAAUCUCUCAUCACCAAGUCUAUAUAUAGAUAUCAAGUUAAGACGAAUAUCUGAAACAUAUCUAACAUAUUUGAGUAUCAAUUUGCUCUCAAUAUUGGUCUCUAACCAAAUAUCUCAAAUACCCAUAAUCUUUGACGUACUAUUAUUUCCUAUUUUAAUAUUACUAAAAUCAUCAAAAGUGUAAGAUACGAAGAAAUCAUUAUAAGAAAUAAUAUGGAAUGAAGCACCGGAGUUAAUUACCCAGUUACUGUUCUAAGCUGCAAGACUGAUACAUCUGUCAUCACAAACAAUAACGAUAUCACCUUUAAUAACAACUGUAUUGUGUCUCUUUCUUAUUUUUCUUCCUUUCAUUCUGUUCUCACUUUCAAAACCUAUACUCUUUUUUCAUAUAACCUGACCUGUUAUAGUAGAAACACUUGAUAUCUCUUCUAGACUUAAAUCUUCCUCUGUAACCAUGUAGAUUUUUACUAUGACUUCUUUCAUGUCUUUCUUAUUUUUCAAUAACAAGUGUACUAGAAGAAGAUUCUCCUUGUUCAUUCCUUUUGACAUCUUUAUUAAGAAAAUUAUCUUUAACAUGUCUAUGGUUAGAGUCUCUUUUGGCAUGAAGUAAAAAUUGUCACCACGUACGUUUCCUAACUUUGUGGAAAAGAGCUGAGAAGUAACAAUCCUUAUAUCUCAUUAUCUAUAUUCAUUUUUAUAGCAACUAACUUAUUUGUAAGACUCUGAAACAAGCUUAUGUGCUCAACAAUAUUGCCACCAUUUUCACAAAGAGAUUUUCUAAUCUUUACCAAACAACAUCAGCUUUGGUUUCAUAAAUAAUAUGCUUAUGUAAAUUUAUAUGCAUCCAUUUUCUAAUAUACGUAAUAGUUUUUGUAUAUUGAUCCUUCCAUUCCUCAUCAUAGAAGGUUUUUCUUUGAAAUUGAUGAUCGUAUACAAAUCGUUACAAUAGAAUAAAUCUUUCAUCAUAUGUCUCCAAGUGAAAUAAUUUGAUAAGUUCAAUUUAAUCAUAUCAUUUGAUUCUUAUAUUUCAAUCACACAAAAAAACUAGCACCAAAUAAUAUGAUGCUCUGAUACCAUUUUGUGGGGAAAAAACUAUUGCAAUGGAAUUUUUUUUUUCCUAUUUGUGGAUCAAAAUGGGUACUUCACCAAAAUAUCGAUUUGUUAUCAAAAGUAAAUAUUAAUCGAAACAACAUAGUAGAACAAUGAAUCAAUCAUAAAGUGGUACAUUAAUUUUUUAUGAAAAAAUUCAUUGUCGAAAAAAUCACAAGACUAUAUUCCACUUCAAACCUCCACUAUUACUAAUAAUAAUAAUAAAUUUAUAAUAAAUUUUAUUCAGAAUAACUAGAGGAUCACAAUAACAUCAAGAAUACAAAUCUCGACUCAACAAUAACAUACAUGAAUUUUAUCAAAAAAAAUAUUUAAGUCUCAUCAAAUGAAUAUAUUAUAAAAGUAUAUCAGAAAAGAUAAAUCACAUAUCGACACCGUUAGUAUUGUAAAAAAUAUUAUAAAUAUUUUUCAUAUAAAAUUUAGAGCAAAACUGAUAAAAUUUACCCGCUUAAUUGUCUAACAACAACUUAAUAACCUUAACUUUUUCUUUCUUUUUCUCCCUAUCUUUUUAGUGGUUAUAGUGUUCGCACGUCCUUCACCGCGCAGGUCUGUCCUUUUUCUUUUUUUUUAAUAACUUUAUUGUCCAAUCCAAACCCACCCAAGCUGGUCCCAACAAUUUGUCUGAUCCCAUCGUAAGGAAUGCAUGACCACCAGACAACCUCCCCGACAGUAUCUGACGCAGACAUCACUAACCUUAUCGCUUUUAAAAAUAAUAAACUCGUGUCACACGUUGAUAUUUUUAUUGGUUUUAAUUAAUUUCCACUUGGCCCAUCCGAUUCACAGAAAUGACUUCACAGUUCUCAUUGCGUACGCAUCUAAUUUUUUAACAAAAUGGCUGCUCUUAUUGCAUGUCCGAGAAUCAGAUACGGAUGAUACGGUACUGCUUUUCCGUUGUCCUCCCUCCCACAUCAUCCCCGGUUUCCACAGACACUGGUGGAAGUAAAAUUGCCAACUCAUCUACCUCCCUAUAUCAAUUAAUUAUCUAAUCUCGUGCUUGCAUCACGUCUUCUGCAACCAUCAACCCGAGACAUCGACAGUUACGAGCAGUUCCAACACGUCUAUAAGAACGUCAGGUUCAUCGGGAUGGCAUAAUCUAUUGUUAAUCAACGGGCUUUACCUCCCUUAUUUUAUAUGAUUUUUUUUCGACACCUAAUUAUUGUGUAAACAGUGAUGAAGAUAUCGAAUUCACCUAUAUAUACAUUCCAUACCCAUACCCAUACACAGACCAACUCUGGACAGCCAUCAUGGCCGCCACCCACAUCGCCCUGUUUGCCUCCGGCCUCGCCGUCUUGCUUCUCCUGGUCCAAGGGUCGCCGCCAGGGCCCGUUGUUCAGUGCCGGUCCGGCAACACUAACUGCACCGUGACCAACGGCUAUGGAGCCUUUCCGGAUCGCAGCACCUGCCGCGUCGCCGCGGUCGCGUACCCUUCGACCGAAGAGGAGCUGCGGUUAGUUGUCUCCGACGCGACCGAGAAGCAGCAGCACAUGAAGGUGGUCACAAUGUACUCCCACAGCAUUCCCAAGCUGUCGUGCCCCGGCGGGCCGAGCGGCCAGGGCCUGGUCAUUAGCACCCAGCGCCUCGGCAGAUCGGUGAGCGUGGACAUGGCCACAUCGCGGAUGACAUUCGAGGCAGGGAUCACACUUAGGGCGCUCCUUGACGCGGCGGCCGCCCGUGGCCUGGCGCUAUCCCACUCGCCGUACUGGCAAGGGAUGACGCUCGGCGGGCUGCUGAGCACCGGCUCGCAUGGGAGCUCGGCGUUCGGGAAGGGCUCGGCGGUGCACGAAUAUGUGGUAGGGAUGAGGCUGGUAGUUCCAAGUCCGGUCCCGGUGAACGGAUACUACGCCAAGAUCGUUAAUCUUGGUGAGGAUGAUCCUGAUCUCUUGGCUGCCAAGGUUUCUCUCGGUGUUCUUGGAGUCAUUUCUCAGGUAUGUGUGUGGUGACCUACGUGUUGUUCUUUACACGAUUUGAGAUCCAUGUGAUAACUCAUCUUAGUUCUUCAUCGUGGUUCUUCCAACCACGUCAAGUACUUUCAGAAGCUGAGUGUACAUGACUUGCCACGUCUCGAUGCUAAUUAGGUGCAACUAUAUCUUUAAUUCUUCAUGAUAUAGUAGAGAUCAUCCUACUGUUAUUAGCAAGGCUGAAUACUUCCUAUCGUCAGCAAAAUGUCGAGACAGAAAAAAAAAACUUGUUUUCUAUCAAAUCACUUUACAAAGGAAGACUUGUUCUUUUCCUCGAAUCUAGAAAGUUACGUAAAUAAUAGGCUGUUGAUGAUCCCAGUGGACUUUACUUUUAAUCUUUCCUUCUUUUCUUGCUUUGCUUGUCUUCCUUGUUUCAAAAUGGGCUGAUGCAAACCUUUGAUCCGUUCUAAUGAUUCCAUGUACCUUCCCUCGUCGUUUAUCGUAACUACACAACAUAAUUGAGUGUUAUGGAAUAUAACCCACAUAGACAAAGAUCAGAGAAAAAGCAAACUUUGCAAAUAACAGCUACAGUGAUGUUGAUGAUGACUCUGUGUAAACGAGAGUGCCCCUUGUUGAUCUUGAUAGGAAGAAGGGAUAGAGUUAUCAAACAGUGGAAUAGUAAGACAAGCUUCAAUCUUCUAUAUUUUUCUCAAAAAAACUCUUUAUAAUUUCAAAAACUCUAUCUAUUUCAUGACCUAUGGGGUUUAUAUAGUCCCGAAAGAUAUAUUACAUUAAUUGUAUUCAAGAUAAAUAAUUUUUUUUCAAAAAAUUCGUUCAAAAAUCAAUAACCAUUUGGACUUAUUCUUCCAUAGACUUUAAUCUAUUUCUUCGUAAUGAAUCUUCUGCAAUGAAUAUUUCUUUUGAGGAAAUGAAUCUCUUUAUAACAUUUGAAAAAGUUUAAUUCCAGAAGAGACAGGCAGGUCCAUGCUGCCUUGCCUUGCAGAGCUUACGACCGGACCCGAUAAUUGCCUUAAAAGCCUCAGUAACAAUUAUUAGGUUGAAGGACGAUAGGGGAUGUCAGUAGUAGUAGUUCUUGUUUCAAUCUUGUUGCCGGAAUAGCUGAAAAGAGUUGACUUGCAAUACAUGUAAGCUUUUGUUCUGCUGCUUCGUUAUAGGUAACCUAAGAAUUACUUGAACCGAUCGCGCAGGUCACCCUCCAACUUGAGCCAAUGUUCAAGCGAUCCAUCACCAACAGGGUCGUAAGCGACGUUGGCUUCGAGCAAACCAUCUCCUCGUACGCUGUCACUACAUACUAUGGAGACAUCAGCUGGUAUCCGUCACAACGCAGAGUGGUGUACCGAGAUGAUAUCAAGGUCCCCAUCACCACCAAGGGAAAGGGUGUAAACGACUACUUAGGGUUCCGAGCGCAGCCCACACUUGUCGGAGCCUCUCUACGUGCUUCAGGUCUUAUAAAUUGAAGCUUUUAUUUUGCUUGUCAAACUUAAUGUAGUGUUCGAGCAGUAUUAUGCACACAUUUACGUCGACAUUUCGUCCGAGAUUUAUACUGAGAAGGCAUCUUAUGUUCUCUACCAUGUGUUUGUGUCAAUGACUGCAGAGGAACGAGUGGAGGCAACGGGAAAUGCGGAAGGCAAAUGUGUGCUGUUCAGAUUGCAAGUUGAUACUUUGAUUGCGACCGGCAUGGGCUUUAAGAACAAUGACGGCGGCUUGAUAGAAUUCACUGGCUAUCCGGUCAUUGGAAACCAAAGCGACAUGCAAUCCGCCGGUAGGUUCUCAAAUUAUCCGAGGAAUGUCUGCAUGUAUGAAUGAUAGCUCUUGAUGAUAAUGCUUCAUCACAAUAAUGACACAUGUAACGCCCGGAUUUAUUUACUCUGAGUCAUCUUCUUUCCAGGUUCUUGCCUAAGGAGUCCAGAAGACAACCUUCUUACAGCCUGUGGCUGGGACCCUCGUUUUGCGGGGUUCUUCUACCACCAAACCACGAUAAGCAUCCCCUUCACCACCAUCUCUGACUUCAUCGCCGACGUCAAGAAGCUCCGCGACGCCCAUCCCGACGCACUCUGCAGCACCGAGCUGUACUUGGGCUUCUUGAUCCGCUUCGUCCGCAACUCCACAGCUUAUCUUGGCAAAACCGACGACGUGGUGGCCAUUGACAUCACAUACUAUCGUUCCAAGGAUCCAAAACAGCCGCGACUAUAUGAGGAUGUGUUCGAGGAGAUCGAACAGAUGGCCUUGUUCAAGUACAACGGGCUGCCGCACUGGGGGAAGAACAGAAAUGUCGGCUUCCUCAAUGUCAAGAACAAGUUGGGGGCUAAGUUGGCCAAGUUUGUGAGUGUGAUGCAGAAGUAUGACAGCAAUGGAUUGUUCUCUUCAGACUGGACCGAUGCGGUGCUGGGACUGCGAGGGAAGGAAGUUGUGGUGCAGGGAGAUGGUUGUGCAAUGGAGGGGCUGUGCAUUUGCUCCACCGAUGACCACUGCGCUCCUAAACUAGGCUAUUAUUGUCGACCUGGGGAAGUCUAUGAGCAGGCUCGAGUUUGCCGGAAGAUAAAAUCCGUGGAAGCUGAUGGUUUGGCAUGGAGCGCAUGAUACCAUUCACAUUCAUUUGCUGUGAGGUUUAUUUCUGUGUCACUUCCUCUUCGAAUAAAGGAUGAAAUGUCAGUCAAUAAUUACUACAUAGUUUAUUAUUGUGAUAUUAAAGCAAGCGUCGAUAAAUGCAAUAUUGUAUGGGACGCAGAUUACAUUCCUCCCGAUUUAUCUGUACAACUCCAAGAUGACUUAUACAAGUCAUUCUAUAGAACUAUAAUGUCUUAAUAAAUUUUUUUUGGGAAAAAAAUUAGGACAUAAUUUCUCAUUAUUUUUCAUAGCAAGAUCCCAUUUUGAAGGAAACGAACGCUCUCCAGUAUCCUUUGCAUGAAAGGAACGAGGAAGCAAGAAAUAAUUGUGCCAUUCUUAACGCCAUCGUGUGGAGAGAGAUAGUAUGUUAACGCGAUAUUCUUCGCUAUCAUUUCUUAAAAUAAUAAUGAUGAUUAAUGAUAAUAACCUGCGACUCACGUAAAUGUUCUGAUUAAUUUUACAUUAAUUACGCUUGACCCACGUUUCGUGACACAAAUGAAAUGGUAGUUCACACCGAUUACAUUUCAAAUUUUUGACUCAAAGCUCGUCCUAUGGAUCGCGAGAAUAAACCAUAUGGUAAGAAGCUACAUAAAUAUGGAAAUCACAAAGGAGGGUGAUUACUGUAAUUAACCCUUCCUCGAUGCCCCCAACUCCAAGAAACUACUGCUCUCUCUAGGUAACUCUACGGCGCAGCAUCCAAUCUUAUGUUUUUUCCUUUCUCAUCCUCGCAGUAUAAUUUAGAGAUAGCAAGUGGUCGCACCAUGAUCGAGGGAAACAGCAGCGAGAGCAAGCUGAGCCAGUACAUCAGGCCCCCGACCGGGAGCUGCGGCAUGCCCCGGACUUGUACGAUAGCAGCAUGGCCGGGAUCGCCGGCAAGGCGCAGUGUGGCACCGUCAUCGCGCUGUCUUCGCGCCUAUGGCUUUGGGCUGUGCUCGCGGACGAGCAGCAGCGAGGAAGAGAUCAACGACCUCAUCGGCGCCGUUUGCAAGAGCAAGAUGCGGGCCAUCCCGGUGGAGGAUGGGACGCCGGUGCCGAGGAGCCACAGUGUGGCGACGUUGAGGAUAGACGAAGACAAGCCGUGUGACUUCGAGGACGACCUCACGGUGGCCCUGGGGCCAAGGAGCUGUGGCUACGAUGUUGCCACCGAGAGGAAGGUGGGCUUCUAAUAAGCUUCAAGUUAGCUUGUGCGGUGAUCUAACACGAACAGUAAACAUCCGAGCUUAUAUAUUGUACUGCUUUCGAGGGAGGAAAUAAGCAAUUCGUUGAGCCGUUGUCAUUCUUUGGGAACCAAAACUUAUUAGGAGAUAAAUCGAAUAGUAGAUAUUCGUCGCUUCUUUUAUGAAGCCUUGUUGUAUUUUACCUACUCACCACGUCUUGUGAUAAUCUCAUGUAAUAUCUACACAAAAUAACUAAGUUUUAGAUCGGGCAUGACAUCCUCAAGGAAUGAUUUUUUAAUAGACUACAGUGUUUAUUUAUGUGAGGAUUUGGCAUGCUUUUUUCAUCUUAAAAAAGGAAAUGUUAAAUUUCUAAGAAAAACCUCCUAACUUUAAGAAUUUAUCAAAUAACCCUCCAAUCUUGAGAAAUUUUUAUAGAGUAUUUCUUUUUCUUAAAUGAUCAUUCUACCCAUAUUGAUUGUCGCCUUUACCCUUGCAUUGUUAUUGCUGUGCUUGCCGGUGGCCUUCGCACAAGGAAGGAAGGGGUGCAAGAGUUGUCAUCUCCUUCCUGCACCACCUCCCCUCCCUUCUGCAUGCUGGACUUAUUGCUUACAGGCCUCACGCGAGGAAGGAGAAGGUACGAGGGCUAUUAUCACCUUUGCAGACCUCACUAACCCUACACUAACGCCUUGCUCACAACCCUCGCAUGAGAAAGGAGAGGACGUGAGGGCUGGGAUAGUAAUUCAAAUCCAAUCAAGGUCUAUUCCAAAUCAGUCACUAUUUGUAAUGCACUAAAUUUGUAAAACUAGGUUGAGGGGCAUUCUUGACAAAUAUUCCUUCAACGGCGAAUUGAAUUUUUAGGUUUGGACUAGUCGAUGAAGUGAAGUCAUAUCUUAGGAGUACAUGGGAGCCCUUUUUAUGAGUGAUACUAAGGAUGAUUAUUCCUAGAAUCACCGAUCGCAUAGGCCAGCCAUGUCAACCACGGGUUCAGAUGAUUGAUUAUCUGGUCAUGUAUCACCCCUUUAUGAGUAUAUGUCUUACGACCUGAUCAUCAUUUGUCUAUCGCGUGUGAUCCUCAUGCUCUUUGGCAAUCGAUCAGUUGGCUCAUUGGUCAUCGGCAAUGUUGUAUUUGACAUGUCACUUGUCACCUAUCACUUGCCCCCAACUUCUAGGUUGAUAGAUUGUAGGGCUAUCGAGUUAAGAAGUGCUCUAGCUUAUGCUUUUAACACUGAUAGUGGAUUUGUUCGUCAUCUUUUUGACAUAUGUCAUAGAAAUGCAUGUUCUGUCCGUUAAAGCUAUUCUAUCCAUUUAGUAUGUUUAACGCAUUCGGUUCAUUUAACCCGUUCUAUUCAUUAGUUGCUCUCCCUCUAACAUACAUUCCUUAAUAUAUCUUGGUUGCUCUCCCUCUAACAUAUCAGUAUAAAUUUUAGUUGUUUGAGUUGAGAUGAUAACUUAGAUCUAUCUGACGUUCAUUCCAAGUUAGUCUAACUCUAGAAAACCUACAAAUGCCCUAUCGUCGAUCAAGUCAGACUUGUCAGCCAAUACUAAAGUCAAGUCGGGUCCUGGAAGUGUACAUAAGAGUCUCUUUUAUUAGUAACUCUAAGAAUGGUUAUGUCUGGAAUCAUUGAUGGUAAGAGGGGAAUAUGUGCCACAUUCAAGCUGAGACUUGGCAUUCGUACAAGUAAAUGGUUGAUGUGAUCCGGGAGAGAGCAAGGCAUGUAAAUGAUUCAUAACAAGGGAACGUCUCUUACAAGUUCUCCAUUGACAGGUUCUUCCGACUUAGAAUUGGUCUAAUGUUUUCCGGCUUCUCCGUACCUCAGGAAAUGUUGGGUCUAGCCCAUACGUCAGCUUGGACUAGAUAAUUAAAUUUUUGAGCUCAAAUCAAUAAUUAAAAAAAAAAACUGCCUAUAGCGUUUUGACAAGCGAACGAUGGCGACGCACAGUCAAAUUAACAUAGAAAGAGAAAAGAGAAAAAAAAUAAGAUUUUGAGUUUUUCUUAGUUAACGAUCAGAGUCAAACUUGGAUCCAAAUUAUACAUGAAAAAUCUUUACAGUAGCCAGCUCUACAAUCCGCUGAUUUGUAGUUUACCCUUUAUGAGGUAUUUUCCAACUAUACUCAUUUUGUGAGACAAAAUUCUUUUUUUGAUGAGAUUCAUUCAUGUGAUGAUGAUAUACUAUUCUUGAGUCAAGAUAUGUGAUUUUGAUGUUAUUAUGGUUCUCUUGUUAUUUUAAAGAAGACUUAUUGUAAACCUAUAAUUAUUAUUAGUGAUAGUGGAAGCUUGAAGUGGACUACGAUCCCUAUUAUUAUUAUUAGUGAUAGUGGAAGCUUGAGGAGGACUACGGUACGUGGUUUUUUCCGCAUUAGGUUUUUCACGUUAAUAUUUGGUCUUACUUUGUGAUUGAUUCAUUGUUUUGUUAUUUAUGUUGUUCUGGUUUAUAUGUACUUUUGAUAUCAAGCUGGUUUUUGAUGAGAAACUUAUUUUAAUAGACAAAAAGAAAAAAAAUUAUUUUAUUUUAAUAGGUUUUUCCCAACAAGAAAUUGAGUGAAGAACUCUAUUUAACCGACUUCAAGUCGGCACGACCCUCUUCGCAUCCAAUGUUAGUGUAGCGCUAUGACCUAGGAAGAAGAAGAGGGAACAAGCUGAUGCGGUACAUCAAGGCCUCUCAUCGAGCACUGCUACGUGCCCGGGACUUGUACGUGAACAGCAUGGCUGGAUGCGCCAGAAGGGCCCAGGGCGAGCCGACGAUCAUCGCGAUGCCGCACGCCCAGAGCCACAUAUAUACACACACAAACGCGCACACACAAUAAAAGUAAUAUAAUUAUUGAUGCCCAUGCAAAAAGAUUUUAUAUCAUUUUUAUUUAAUUCGCUCACGUGGAUCAAUCGAGUUGUCCAUGUGUUAUUAUCCAUUAACUUGCUUUUAUCUAUUAUAUAAUAACGAUUGGAUCAUGAGCUGGCUUUCUCAUCUGCGUGCCAAUCCAAACGCUUCUAUACUGUGCCAUCGACGACUUCAAUAUCUUUGAUUUGCUCACAUCUCAAAGCCAAAAAAAAGGAAAAAUGAUGAGUACCUACAGUAUAUGACAAUUAGUUAGACCGAUUCUUCUAAAUUUUCUGAUCCCAUCGUGAGGCGUGCAUGACCAGCGUACUUUCCCCACUGUAUUUUACUCGACCAUCACUAACCUCACCGCUAUUAUAGAAAUAGUAUGUCAACACGAUCUUGGCUGUCAUCANNNNNNNNNNNNNNNNNNNNUUUUCUUACAAUAAUAAUAAUGAUAAGAACCUUGCGUCCCAAGUUGGCUCACGUGAUUGAAAUAAAUGACUCGAAUUGGGAACAAUACCCAUAUGCAGAUUCAUUGGGAUGGCAGAAUCUCUUGUUAAGUCAACGGGCUUUACCUCCCUUAUUUUAUAUGAAUUUUUUUCUGACACCUAAUAAUUUUGUAAACAGUGAUCAAGAUAUCGAAUUCACAUUCUCCUAUAUACACAUUACAUACCCAUAUGCAGACCAACUCUGGACAGUCAUCAUGGCCGCCACCUACUUUGCCCUAUUCGCCUCCGGCCUCGCCGUCUUGCUUCUACUAGUCCAAGGAUCGCCGCCAGGGCCCGUUGUCCAGUGCCGGUCCGGCAACACUAACUGCACCGUGACCAACGGCUAUGGAGCCUUUCCUGAUCGCAGCACCUGCUGCGUCGCCGCGGUCGCGUACCCUUCCACCGAACUGGAGCUCCUGUUAGCUGUCUCCGACGCCACCGAGAAGCAGCAGCACAUGAAGGCUGUCACGAUGUACUCCCACAGCAUCCCCAAGCUGUCGUGCCCCGGAGGGCCGAGCGGCCAGGGCCUGGUCAUUAGCACCCAGCGCCUCAACCGAUCGGUGAGCGUGGACAUGGCCACCUCGCGGAUGACGUUCGAAGCAGGGAUCACACUUAGGGAGCUCCUUGACGCGGCGGCCGCCCGUGGCCUGGCGCUACCCCACUCGCCGUACUGGCAAGGGAUGACGCUCGGCGGCCUGCUGAGCACCGGCUCCCAUGGGAGCUCGGUGUUCGGGAAGGGCUCGGCGGUGCACGAAUAUGUGGUAGGGAUGAGGCUGGUGGUUCCAAGUCCGGCCCCGGUGAACGGAUACUACGCCAAGAUCGUUAAUCUUGGUGAGGAUGAUCCUGAUCUCUUGGCUGCCAAGGUUUCUCUCGGUGUUCUUGGAGUCAUUUCUCAGGUAUGUGUGUGGUGACCUACGUGUUAUUCUUUGUUCUUUACACGGAUUGAGAUCCAUGUGAUAACUCAUCUUAGUUCUUCAUGGUGGUUCUUCCAACCACGUCAAGUACUUUCAUAAGCUGAGUGUACAAGAUUUGCCACGUUUCGAUGCUAAUUAGGUGCAACUAUAUCUUUAAUUCUUCAUGAUAUAAUAGAGAUCAUCCUACUGUUAUUAGCAACGCUGAAUACAUCCUAUCGUCAGUAAAAUGUCGAGACAGAAAAAAAAAACUUGAUUUCUAUCAAAUCACUUUACAAAGGAAGACUUGUUCUUUUCCUUGAAUCUAGAAAGUUACGUAAAUAAUAGGCUUUUGAUGAUCGCAGUGGACUUUACUUUUAAUCUUUCCUUCUUUUCUUGCUUUGCUUGUCUUCCUUGUUUCAAAAUGGGCUGAUGCAAACCUUUGAACCGUUCUAAUGAUUCCAUGUACCUUCCCUCGUCGUUUAUCGUAACUACACAACAUACUUGAGUGUUAUGGAACAUAUGAGCACAUGCAAACCCACAGAGACAAAGAUCAGAGAAAAAGCAACCAUUGCAAUAACAGCUACAGUGACGUUGAUGAUGACUCGGUGUAAAUGAGAGUGCCCCUUCCUUCACAUAUGGAGCCUCGAGCAGGGCAAGAGGCAGGCAGGUCCAUGCUGCCUUGCCUUGCAGAGCUUACGACCGGGCCCACUAAUUGCCUUAAAAGCCUCAGUAACAAUUAUUAGGUUGAAGGACGAUAGGGGAUGUCAGUAGUUGUAGUUCUUGUUUCAAUCUUUUUGCCUGAAUAGCUGAAAAGAGUUGACUAGCGAUACAUGUAAGCUUUUGUUCUUCUGCUUCAUUAUAAGUAACCUAAGAAUUACUUGAACCGAUCGAGCAGGUCACCCUCCAACUUGAGCCAAUGUUCAAGCGAUCCAUCACCAACAGGGUCGUAAGCGACGUUGGCUUCGAGCAAACCAUCUCCUCGUACGCUGUCACUACAUACUAUGGAGACAUCAGCUGGUAUCCGUCACAACGCAGAGUGGUGUACCGAGAUGAUAUCAAGGUCCCCAUCACCACCGAAGGAAAGGGUGUAAACGACUACUUAGGGUUCCGAGCGCAGCCCACCCACGUCGGAGCCUCUCUACGUGCUUCAGGUCUUAUAAAUUGCAGCUUUUAUUUUGCUUGUCAAACUUAAUGUAGUGUUCGAGCAGUAUUAUGCACACAUUUACAUCGACAUUUCGUCCGAGAUUUGUACUAAGAAGGCUUCUUUUGUCCUCUACCAUGUGUUUGUGUCUGUGAAUGCAGAGGAACGAGUGGAGGCAACGGGAAAUGCGGAAGGCAAAUGUGUGCUGUUCAGAUUGCAAGUUGAUACUUUGAUUGCGACCGGCAUGGGCCUUAAGAACAAUGACGGCGGCUUGUUAGAAUUCACCGGCUAUCCGGUCGUUGGAAACCAAAGCGACAUGCAAUCCUCCGGUAGGUCCUCCAAUUAUCCGAAGAAUGUAUAUGAUGACACAUGUUACACCUGUAUUAUAUAUUAUAUGGUCUGAGCCAAAUUCACUCCUGUAUUCUGUAUUAGUCUGAACCAUCUUCUCUCCAGGUUCGUGCCUAAGAAGUGCAGAAGACAACCUUCUCACGGCCUGUGGAUGGGACCCUCGCUUUGCUGGGUCCUUCUACCACGAAACCGCGAUAAGUAUCCCCUUCACCACCGUUGCAGACUUCAUCGCCGACGUCAAGAAGCUCCGCGACGCCCACCCCAACUCGCUCUGCGGCACCGAGCUGUCCUUGGGCUUCUUCAUUCGCUUCCUCCGCAACUCCACGGCCUAUCUUGGCAAAACGGACGACGUGGUGGAGAUCGACAUCACAUACUACCGUUCCAGGGAUCCAAAACGGCCGCGACUCUAUGAGGAUGUGCUCGAGGAGAUCGAACAGAUGGCCUUGUUCAAGUACAAUGGGCUGCCGCACUGGGGGAAGAACAGAAAUGUCGGCUUCCUCAAUGUCAAGAACAAGCUGGGGGCUAAGUUGGCCAAGUUUGUGAGUGUGAUGCAGAAGUAUGACAGCAAUGGAUUGUUCUCUUCAGACUGGACCGAUGCGGUGCUGGGACUGCGAGGGAAGGAAGUUGUGGUGCAGGGAGAUGGAUGUGCACUGGAGGGGCUGUGCAUUUGCUCCACUGACGACCACUGCGCUCCUAAACUAGGCUAUUUUUGUCGACCUGGAGAAGUCUAUGAACAGGCUCGAGUUUGCCGGAAGAUAAAAUCCGUGGAAGCUGAUGGUUUGGCAUGGAGCGCAUGAUACCAUUCACAUUCAUUUGCUGUGCGGUUUAUUUCUGUGUCACUUCCUCUUCGAAUAAAGGUUGUAAUGUCAGUCAAUAAUUACUACAUAGUUUAAUGAUGAUUAAUGAUAAUAACCUGCGACACACGUAAAUGUUCUGAUUAAUUUUACAUAAAUUACACUUGACCCACGUUUCGUGACACAAAUGACAUGGUAGUUCACACCGAAACUACUGCUCUCUAUAAAUUACUCAACGGCGCAGCAUCCAAUCUUCUGUUUGUUCCUUUCUCAUCCUCGCAGUAUAAUUUGGAGAUAGGAAGUGGUCGCACCAUGAGCGAGGGAAACAGCAGCGAGAGCAAGCUGACCCCGUACAUCAGGCCCCCGACCGGGCCGCUGUGGCAUGCCCGGGACUUGUACGAGAGCAGCAAGGCGCAGAGUGGCACCGUCAUCGCGCUGUCUCGCGCCUAUGGCUUUGGGCAGUGCUCGCGGACGAGCAGCAGCGAGGAAGAGAUCAACGACCUCAUCGGCGCCGCUUGCAAGAGCAUGAUGCGGGCCAUCCUGGUGAAGGAGGAUGGGCUGGUGCCAAGGAGCCACCGAGUGGCGACGUUGAGGAUAGACGAUGACAAGCCGUGUGACUUCGAGGACGACCAAGAGGAACGAUGCCAAGGAGCUGUAGCUACGAUGUUGCCACCAAGAGGAACGUGGGCUUCUAAUAAGCUUCAAGUUAGAUUGUGCGGUGAUCAACACGAACAGUAAACAUCCGAGCUUAUAUAUUGUACUGCUUUCGAGGGAGGAAAUAAGCAUUUCGUUGAGCCGUUGUCAUUCUUUUGGAACCAAAACUUAUUAGGAGAGAAAUCGAAUAGUGAAUACAGAAGAAGAUAUUCUUCACUUCUUUUGUGAAGCUUUGUUGUAUUUUACCUACUCACCAUGUAUUUUACACAAAAUAACUAGUUUUAGAUCGGGCAUGACAUCCUGAAGGAAUGAUUGUUUAAUAGACUACAAUGUUUAUUUAUGCGAGGAUUUGGCAUGCUUUUCUCAUCUUAAAAAAAGGAAAUGUUAAAUUUCUAAAAAAAGACCUCCUAACUUUAAAUUAUCAAAUAACGCUCUGAGAAAUUUUUUUAGAGUAUUUUUUUCUUAAACAAUCAUUCUAUCCAUUGUCAACUCUAUCCAUGCAUUGUUAUUAUUGUAUUUACAUGUGGCCCUCGCAUAAGGAAGGAAGGGGUGCAAGAGUUGUCACCUCCUUCCUGCACCACCUCUCCUCCUCUUGUCAUGCUGGAUUUGUUACUUAUAGGCCUCACUCGAGGAAAGAGAGGGUACGAGAGCCAUUGCCACUUAUGCGGACCCCACCAACUCUAUCCUAGCGCCUCGAUCACAACUUUCAUAUGAGAAAGGAGGGGACGUGAGGGCCGUCAUCGUUUCUGUGGACCUUACUAGCCCUAGGACCUUGCUAGACUCUAUUGGACUUGUUGCCCGUAGCCCUUACACAAGGAAAGAAGGGUUGUGAGGGUCGACGCCACCACCAUCUUCACAGACCACUACGACCCUGCUUAUAUGCACUUCACUCGUAACCCUUGUGCAAGGAAGAAGGUGGCACAUGUGCUAUCGUUGCCUUUGUGGAACCUAUUAGUCUCCGUCAAACCUGUUGUCACUCUGCACCACCCCCCCUUUCCUCGCACGAGGGCCAUAGUGUGCAAGGGUUGUGAGUGACAGAUUAUAUGAAGUAGAGGAGAGGAUAGGUAGUGCAUGGAGUAAGGGCACAAGUGAUUAUAGAGGGAGGAGGAGAUAACUAUAGGUCUAAUAGAAAUAGAGAUAAAAUAAUAUUUUUAUAUAAUCAAGAUACUCUAUGAAUUUCUUAAAGUUAAAAGGCUCUGUAAAAAAUUCAUAAUGUUAAAUCUAAAAAAAAAAUAAGGAUUUGACGUGCGUCCGACAAGCCUCCUUCCUGGAGAGGAUCAACACACAGCUAGUUAGUAGGGGAUUCAGUAACUUUCCUUUUUUUUUCCCUUUAAAAAUAUGAAGUUUCAUAACUUAUCAAAAAGAGGUCCAAAUUGUACAUUUAUACCAAUAAAUUUGAAUACUACAAGUUUUUCUCUUGCAACUAAUACACACACAUAUACUACAGUUUUGCCCCAUACAAAUCGAAUAACAAUGAGUAUAGUUUUGACCCUUCCAUGUAUAGAAAUUAAAUAAAAAUUAGUUUGAUUCAAUUCAAAGAGUUAAGUUUCUAUAUUGUGGACCAAAUUAAGUAUAUAUAAUCAGACUCUUUUAAUUCUUAAUUAUACUAGAUUAUCCUCUUAGUUUAUUUUAUUUCAAUUUAGACAUGAAUAUUUUCAUUACAAUGUGAAUAAUAAAAAUAUCUUAAAAGUGAAGUCAUAUUUGGUUCUUUAUUAGACCUUACUUUUCAACUUUUGUAACGAUCCAACCAAUGACCUCAUUAUUGGCCAUGAAUGAAAUCUUGAAUUCUAAUUUUUAAGUAAAAUGUAACUUAUGAUAUUUUAGAUUAAUACAAGUUAACAAUUAUUAACUAUCAUUAGUUAUGAUUGAUUAAAAAUUGAAAUGUAGUAAUAGAAUAUGAUAUUACAAAAUGUUCACAUCAUAUUUCUUUCUUAAAAAAUAAUCUUGUUUAUACCAAACUCGAAUUCAAAAUCUCAUCUGAUAUAUUUUGAAGAUAUCAUCUAAUUUAGUUGGUGUUAGUGUAGAUUUUGAUUAUAUGAGCUAGGAUAAUUCUUCAAAUUGAAUCAAAGUCUAUUCCAAACCAAUCUCACUUCACAUCACUAUUAAUAAAGCACCAAACUUGUAAAACUAGGUCAAGAGGUAUUCUUGACAAAUAUUCCUUCAAUAAUCAAUUGAAUUCUUAGGUUUGGACUGGCUGAUGAAUAUUGAAGUGAAAUCAUAUCUUAAGAGUACAUGAGAGUCCUUUUUAUGGGUGAUACUAAGGAUGAUUAUUCCUAGAAUCACCGAUCACUUAGGCUAGUCGAUCACGAGUUCAAAUUAUCUAUCAUUUGGCCACAUAUCACCCCUUUAUGAGUAUAUAUCUUACUACCUGACCAUCAUCUGUCAAACGCGUGUGAUCCCCAUGCUCUUUGAUAAUCGACCCAUUGGCUUCUUGGCCACGUGUCGCAUUGUGGCAAUGUUGUAUUUGACAUGUCACUUGUCACCUAUCACUAGCCCCCCAUUUCUAAGUUGAUAGAUUAUAGGGCUAUAGAGCUAAGAAGUGCUCUGGCCUAUGAUUUUUACACUGAUAGCGAGUUUGUUCAUCAUCGUUUUGACAUAUGUCAUUGGAAUGCAUGUUGUGUCCAUUAAAGCUAUUCUAUCCAUUCAGUGUGUUUGACGCAUUCAGUCCAUUUGACCCAUUCCGUUGGUUAGGGUCGUUCAGCUCGUUCAAUCAAUUUGACAUGUUAGGCUUUUUAGGAUUUAACCUAGAUGGUACCACGAAGUUUUCUUAAGAUAUCUUAGUUGCCCUCUCUCUAACGCUAAUAUAUUAGUAUAAAUUUUAAUUGUCUGAAUUGAGAUGAUAACUUAGAUCCAACUGAGAUUCAUUGCAAGUUAGUCUUACUCUAGGAAACCUACAAAUGCCCCAUCGUAGAUCAAGUCAGACUUGUUGGCCAAUAAUAAAGUCAAGUUGGAUCCUCGAAGUGUACCUAGAGUCCCUUUUAUUAGUAACUCUGAGAAUGAUUAUGUCCGGAAUCAUUGAUGGUAAGAGAGGAAUAUGUGCCACAUUCAGACUGAGACUUGGCAUGAUAUUCAUCGAACCUUGUGUUCACAUAGGUUGGUUGUGCUAAUCAUGGGUUUGGACGAUCGACUAUUCAUCCACGUAUUAUCUCAUGCUGAGUGUGCAUCUCAUGAUUCCAUCAUCACCUAUCUAUCACAUAUGAUCCUCAUGCUCUUUGGUUGUCAACCUUGUGGCCAUGUGUCACUACACGGUGAUGUUAUAUUCGAUAUAUUACUCUUUAUGCUGAAAAAAAAUUUGAUAGUUGAUCACUAGACUCAAAAUUCUACAUUCGUUAGUGGUGCGUUGGCCAUGUCUCGCCGCAUGAUAGUGUUAUAUUCAAUGUCACACCCUUCACCUGUCAGAUAAAGACUUUAAUAGUUCCUCCCAAAAUUUUAGACUUAAAUUCCACAUUAAUCACUUAUUCUCAAAAAAAAAAUCUGGUUAAGAUCGCAACCACUGCUUCGGUUACAAUUAUCCCUUCUAUUUUUAUAACAGAACAAAUAGGGUAAACAGUGUGCGAGUCGAUCAGUCGGUGGACUGCCUUCAUUCCACCGACUUACACCAUCAUGAGAUCCUCUUAAUUUUCAAAUUAUAAUAAUUAUAAUUUAAAAAAUAUGAAUAACAUUAAAUAAAAAUAAACAAAAAAAUCAGCCAUAACGCGUAAAGGUCAAAGUCAAAGUACCCAUGACCCAUGGACUGGGACACGUGGAGGCAAGAAAGCAUCACAACAGACUCGAGAACGAGCCCACUCGAUUGGACCAUUCAGGGCGGGAUUAAUUGAAAGAAACAACGAGCGAGACAGUCAGCAGGUCCACUAAACUGGAAGCAUUCUUCAUGCUUUGAAAUCAAAACAUGAGUCUAACAUGAUCAACCAAAUUGGACUCAACACUUGUGAUCGAGAAGAAUAGGGUGCCGCCAUGUUCGUACAAGUAAAUGGUUGAUGUGAUCCGGGAGAGAGCAAGGCAUAUAAAUGCUUCAUAACAAGGGAACGUCUCUUACAAGUUCUCCAUUGACAGGUUCUCUUCCUGCUUAGAAUUGGUCCAAUGUUUUCCGGCUUCCACAUACCUCAGGAAAUUGAGUAAAGAACUCUAUUUAAGCGACUUCAAGUCGGCACGACUCUCUUCGCAUCCAAUGUUAAUGUAGCGCUAUGAGCAAGGGAAGCAGAAGAGGGAACAAGCUGAUGCGGUACAUCAAGGCCCCUUAUCGAGCACUGCUUCGUGCCCGGGACUUGUACGUGAACAGCAUGGCCGGAUGCGCCGGCAGGGCCCAGCGCGGGCCGACGAUCAUCGCGAUGCCACGCGCCCAGAGCCGCAGCUUCCACCGCCCGCAAAUGAGCAGCGGCGAGGACGACAUCAACGAGCUCAUCCGCGCUGCGUCGAGGAGCAGGCUGCGGUCCGUCGAGGGAGCGGCGGUUCCGAGGAGUCACAGCGUGGCGGGGAUGACGAUUGACGAGGACAAGCCAUGCAACUUUGAGGGCGACGUCAAGGUGGCCUUGGGCCCGAGGAGCCGGAGCUGCGACGUCGUCUCCAAGAGGAGGGCGGGGUUUACAACAAACGCCGUAAGCAGCAUCCGAAGCUUCUAAUACCAAGAGUGGAAGCACCAAAUGCAGCAAUUCCAUGUCGUUGUGGUUUCUAUUACUCGUGUUCGUGAACUCGAUUCGAUACUUUCUCUCCUCUUCUUCUCCUGUCAUGUUUCUGUUCACUCGUGAAUGUUUGGGCUGCCUGCUUACCUCAUUCCAUCUACACGAACGGAAUGUUCAUAUGGCAUCUCGGUAUCAUUUCCCUCAAAAUUUGAGCCUACAUUUGAAGCAUUUUCAUUAUAUAUAUAUAUAUAUAUAUAUAUAUAUAUAUAUAUAUAUAUAUAUAUAUAUAUAUANNNNNNNNNNNNNNNNNNNNNNNNNNNNNNNNNNNNNNNNNNNNNNNNNNNNNNNNNNNNNNNNNNNNNNNNNNNNNNNNNNNNNNNNNNNNNNNNNNNNNNNNNNNNNNNNNNNNNNNNNNNNNNNNNNNNNNNNNNNNNNNNNNNNNNNNNNNNNNNNNNNNNNNNNNNNNNNNNNNNNNNNNNNNNNNNNNNNNNNNNNNNNNNNNNNNNNNNNNNNNNNNNNNNNNNNNNNNNNNNNNNNNNNNNNNNNNNNNNNNNNNNNNNNNNNNNNNNNNNNNNNNNNNNNNNNNNNNNNNNNNNNNNNNNNNNNNNNNNNNNNNNNNNNNNNNNNNNNNNNNNNNNNNNNNNNNNNNNNNNNNNNNNNNNNNNNNNNNNNNNNNNNNNNNNNNNNNNNNNNNNNNNNNNNNNNNNNNNNNNNNNNNNNNNNNNNNNNNNNNNNNNNNNNNNNNNNNNNNNNNNNNNNNNNNNNNNNNNNNNNNNNNNNNNNNNNNNNNNNNNNNNNNNNNNNNNNNNNNNNNNNNNNNNNNNNNNNNNNNNNNNNNNNNNNNNNNNNNNNNNNNNNNNNNNNNNNNNNNNNNUUUCCUUACAAUAAUAAUAAUGAUAAGAACCUUGCGUCCCAAGUAGGCUCACGUGAUUGACAUAAAUGACUCAAAUUGGGAACGGAUGAAAACUCCUCCUAUUGCAUGUUCAUGAAUCAGAUAUGGAUGAUAUGGCACCACUUUUCCAUUGCCGUCCCACGCACAUCAUCCACGGUUUCCACAGAGACUGGUAGAAGUAAAAUUGCCAACUCAUCUACCUCCCUCUAUCAAUAUAUAUUAUCUAAUCACGUUCUUGCAUCACGUGUUCUGCGACCAUCAACCGGAGACUUUGACAAUUAUGAACCAUUCCAACACGUCUAAAUACACGUAAGAUUCAUCGGGAUGGCAUAAUCUCUUGUUAAGUCAACGGGCUUUACCUCCCUUCUUUUAUAUGAAUUUUUUUCUGACUACUAAUUAUUAUGUAAAUAGUGAUCAAGAUAUCGAAUGCACCUAUAUAUACAUUACAUACCCAUACCCAGACCAACUCUGAACAGCCAUCAUGGCCGCCACCCACAUUGCCCUGUUCGCAUCCGGCCUCGCCGUCUUGCUUCUCCUAGUCCAAGGAUCGCCGCCAGGGCCCGUUGUCCGGUGCCGGUCCGGCAACACUAACUGCACCGUGACCAACGGCUAUGGAGCCUUUCCUGAUCGCAGCACCUGCCGCGUCGCCGCGGUCGCGUACCCUUCGACCGAACAGGAGCUCCUGUUAGCUGUCUCCGACGCCACCGAGAAGCAGCAGCACAUGAAGGCUGUCACGAUGUACUCCCACAGCAUCCCCAAGCUGUCGUGCCCCGGCGGGCCGAGCGGCCAGGGCCUGGUCAUUAGCACCCAGCUCCUCAACAGAUCGGUGAGCGUGGACAUGGCCACCUCGCGGAUGACGUUCGAGGCAGGGAUCACACUUAGGGCGCUCCUUGACGCGGCGGCCGCCCGUGGCCUGGCGCUACCCCACUCGCCGUACUGGCAAGGGAUCACGCUCGGCGGGCUGCUGAGCACCGGUUCGCAUGGGAGCUCGGUGUUCGGGAAGGGCUCGGCGGUGCACGAAUAUGUGGUAGGGAUGAGGCUGGUGGUUCCAAGUCCGGUACCGGUGAACGGGUACUACGCCAAGAUCGUUAAUCUUGGUGAGGAUAAUCCUGAUCUCUUGGCUGCCAAGGUUUCUCUCGGUGUUCUUGGAGUCAUUUCUCAGGUAUGUGUGUGGUGACCUACGUGUUGUUCUUUGUUCUUUACACGGUUUGAGAUCCAUGUGAUAACUCAUCUUAGUUCUUCAUGGUGGUUCUUCCAACCACGUCAAGUGCUUUCAUAAGCUGAGUACAUGACUCGCCACGUCUCGAUGCUAAUUAGGUGCAACUAUAUCUUUAAUUCUUCAUGAUAUAAUAGAGAUCAUCCUACUGUUAUUAGCAACGCUGAAUACAUCCUAUCGUCAGCAAAAUGUCGAGACAGAAAAAAAGAACUUGUUUUCUAUCAAAUCACUUUACAAAGGAAGACUUGUUCUUUUCCUCGAAUCUAGAAAGUUACGUAAAUAAUAGGCUGUUGAUGAUCCCAGUGGACUUUACUUUUAAUCUUUCCUUCUUUUCUUGCUUUGCUUGUCUUCCUUGUUUCAAAAAGGGCUGAUGCAAACCGUUGAACCGUUCUAAUGAUUCCAUGUACCUUCCCUCGUCGUUUAUCGUAACUACACAACAUAAUUGAGUGUUAUGGAACAUAUGAGCACAUGCAAACCCACAUAGACAAAGAUCAGAGAAAAAGCAAACUUUGCAAUAACAGCUACAGUGACGUUGAUGAUGACUCGGGGUAAAUGAGAGUGCCCCUUCCUUCACAUAUGGAGCCUCGCGCAAGGCAAGAGGCAGGCAGGUCCAUGCUGCCUUGCCUUGCAGAGCUUACGACCGGGCCCGCUAAUUGCCUUAAAAGCCUCAGUAACAAUUAUUAGGUUGAAGGACGAUAGGGGAUGUCAGUAGUAGUAGUUCUUGUUUCAGUCUUAUUGCCUGAAUAGCUGAAAAGAGUUGACUUGCAAUACAUGUAAGCUUUUGUUCUUCUGCUUCAUUAUAAGUAACCUAAGAAUUACUUGAACCGAUCGCGCAGGUCACCCUCCAACUUGAGCCAAUGUUCAAGCGAUCCAUCACCAACAGGGUCGUAAGCGACGUUGGCUUCGAGCAAACCAUCUCCUCGUACGCUGCCGCUACAUACUAUGGGGACAUCAGCUGGUAUCCGUCACAACGCAGAGUGGUGUACCGAGAUGAUAUCAAGGUCCCCAUCACCACCAAAGGAAAGGGUGUCAACGACUACUUAGGGUUCCGAGCUCAGCCCACCCUUGUCGUAGCCUCUCUACGUGCUUCAGGUCUUAUAAAUUGCAGUUUUUAUUUUGCUUGUCAAUCUUGAUGUAGUGUUCGAGAAGUAUUGUGAACACAUUUACAUCGACAUUUCGUCCGAGAUUUAUACUAAGAAGGCAUCUUUUGUCCUCUACCAUGUGUUUGUGUCAAUGACUGCAGAGGAACUAUUGGAAGCAACGGGAAAUGCGGAAGGCAAAUGUGUGCUGUUCAGAUUGCAAGUAGAUACUUUGAUUGCGAUCGGCAUGGGCUUUAAGAACAAUGACGGCGGCUUGUUAGAAUUCACUGGCUAUCCGGUCAUUGGAAACCAAAGCGACAUGCAAUCCGCUGGUAGGUUCUCAAAUUAUCCGAGGAAUGUCUGCAUGUAUGAAUGAUAACUCUUGACGAUAAUGCUUCAUCACAAUAAUGACACAUGUAAUGCCCGGAUUUAUUUAGUUUGAGUCAUCUUCUCUCCAGGUUCAUGCCUAAGGAGUGCAGAAGACAACCUUCUUACAGCCUGUGGCUGGGACCCUCGUUUUGCGGGGCUCUUCUACCACCAAACCACGAUAAGCAUCCCCUUCACCACCAUCGCUGGCUUCAUCGCCGACGUCAAGAAGCUCCGCGACGCCCAUCCCGACGCACUCUGCAGCACCGAGCUGUACUUGGGCUUCUUCAUGCGCUUCGUCCGCAACUCCACAGCUUAUCUUGGCAAAACCGACGACGUGGUGGACAUCGACAUCACAUACUAUCGUUCCAAGGAUCCAAAAAAGCCGCGACUCUACGAGGAUGUGCUCGAGGAGAUCGAACAGAUGGCCUUGUUCAAGUACAAUGCGCUGCCGCACUGGGGGAAGAAUAGAAAUGUCGGCUUCCUCAAUGUCAAGAACAAGCUGGGGGCUAAGUUGGACAAGUUUGUGAGUGUGAUGCAGAAGUAUGACAGCAAUGGAUUGUUCUCUUCAGACUGGACCGAUGCGGUACUGGGACUGCGAGGGAAGGAAGUUGUGGUGCAGGGUGAUGGUUGUGCACUGGAGGGGCUGUGCAUUUGCUCCACUGAUGACCACUGCGCUCCUAAACAAGGCUAUUAUUGUCGACCUGGAGAAGUCUACGAACAGGCUCGAGUGUGCAGGAAGAUUAAAUCCGUGGAAGCUGAUGGUUAGGUUUAUUUCUGUGUCGCUUCCUCUUCGAAUAAAGGAUGUAAUGUCAGUCAAUAAUUACUACAUAGUUUAUUAUUGUAAUAUUAAAGCAAGCGUCGAUAAAUGCAAUAUUGUAUGGGAGGCAGAUUGCAUUCCUCCUGAUUUAUCUGUGCAACUCCAAGAUGACUUAUGCAAGUCAUUCUAUAGAACUAUAAUGUGUUAAUAAAUUUCUUUUGGGCAAAAAAAUUAGGACAUAAUUUCUCAUUGUUUUUAAUUGCAAGAUCCCAUUGUGAAGGAAAGGAACACUCUCCAGUAUCCGUUGCAUGAAAGGGACGAGGAAGCAAGAAAUAACAGUGCCAUUAUUAAUGCCAUCGUGUGGAGAGACGUAGUAUGUUAACGCGAUAUUCUUCGCUAUCAUUCCUUAAAAUAAGAAUGAUGAUUAAUGAUAAUAACCUGCGACUCACGUAAACGUUCUGAUUAAUUUUACAUUAAUCACACUUGAACCACGUUUCGUGACACAAAUGACAUGGUAGUUCACACCGGUUGCAUUUCAAAUUUUUGACUCAAAGCUCGUCCUAUGGAUCGCGAGAAUAAACCAUAUGGUAAGAAGCUACGUAAAUAUGGAAAUCACAAAGAAUGGUGAUUACUGUAAUUAAGCCUUCCUCGAUCCCCCCCAACCCCAAGAAACUACUGCUCUCUCUAAAUAACUCUACGGCGCAGCAUCCAAUCUCCUUUUUGUUCCUUUCUCAUCCUCGUAAUAUAAUUUAGAGAUAGGAAGUGGUCGCGCCAUGAGCAAGGGAAACAGCAGCGAGAGCAAGCUGAGCCAGUGCAUCAAGGCCCCCGACCUGGCUCUGCGACAUACCCGGGACUUGUGCGAGAGCAGCAUGGCCGGGACUGAUAAUAUAUGUAUACACGAUAAUCUCAUGUAAGCUCGUUCAUCUACACCAAAUACUAGUUUUAGAUCGGGCAUGACAUCCUGAAGGAAUGAUUGUUUAAUUGACGACAGUGUUUAUUUACGUGUGGAUUUGACGUGCUUGUUUCCAUCUUUAAAAAGGAAAAUUCAAAUUCUUUUAAAAAAAAACUGUCAACUUAAUUUUUCAAAUAGCUCUUCAAAAAAUUCUCAUUGAGUAUUUUUUUUUUUCAAAAAGACUAUUCUAUAUCAAUCGGUCAUCGCCUCCGCCUCGUAUCACUUCUGAACACGUAUCAGAGUAUUUUUUUCAAAAAGUUUCUUCUAAGCGUGAGACAAUGUAUCACUUCUGAACACGUAUCAGAGUAAAUCCAGGCCAUUGCAGUUUGCAACUUCUUCUUUCUUUUCCUGAUCCAAUUCUUACAGUUGUUGGUGAUCAUCCGCAAUUUCUUCCCAGUAUAUGUUCCCCUUGUAGCUCAAGCAAUAUCCGAAGGUAACUUUAGCUAUAAAUUUCGUUUGGUUUGGAAGUUCAAGAAAAAAUAGUCACUCUUAUGUCCAAAGUUAUUGACAGAAAUGAGGUGGUCUCAUUAACUAUGCUUUGAUACUAUGGACUACGGUCAAGAAUUUGAAGCUGUCUGGCAACAUUUACAAGUGAGAAUGGAACGGAUAAAUGAAAUCAAAAGUACCCAUUUGGACUGCACAAGAAAAACCUUUAUGACUGACGUUUUGAACUGUUCAUAUGAGGUAGUCACUGUUAACUCACAUCCACGUUCAAGAAAAGGAUGUGCUACAGUCUCCUAGCGGUGGCAAUUCCAUGAUUGUCCACCGAGGAUGCUUAUUAUUCUUAUUCGCAAGCAGUUCGUCUGAGAAAUUAACUCAGAAGCCUCGUAUUGUGCUUCUGCUCAACCAAAGAAAGAGAUCAGAAGUGGAGAUAGAAGAUCCAUGGAGCAGGACGAUCCCAAUUACCUCUUCCAGGCCUAAAUUGUAGAGUAAGUUGAUCUCUGUCAUAACCAAGUCUUGGCAGCGAUCUCCAAAGAGUUCCAUGCAUCUCGGCCAUGUAGUCGGCAACGAAGCGACGUGAUGGCAUUGAAUUCAGUGUACUCUCUGUGCAGUCACCUUACUCGGCAUCCAUGCAACCGUUCUUCCUUUAUUUUCAAAGAUAAUGAUUACUGAUUUCUUCGAGGGGAAGUGCUUCUAAAUGUGCUCGUGCAAUUGAUUCUCUUCUCAAUCGAUCUUGAUGUGCCAUGCGAUCAAACUCACAUUACGGUGUUCGUGAACAGACGUUGAAGAUCAUGGAAGGAGUAUUUUGUUUGCUGUGAUUGUGUGGAGAGAAACACACGAGGCAAGGGAAGUCCCUGUGUAGUCGGAGAAGGCAACGGAUGGCUUGGCUUUUUCUUCCCUGUAAAGGUGGAAGACGAGAUGGCCAGAUGAUCUAAUAUUAUAUUGCAGUGUUGCGUCUGUCCGUGGUUGUAGGAGUGUCCUACAAAAACAAUAACAGCUUGUUACUAAGACAUGUUCUAUAAACAAUCAAAACAAUUAAAUAUUACACGCAUUAUAUUAAGACCAGCAGAAAAUGUCUUACGUGAUUAAGUAAUUUAGUAUCUGAUAUGGGACUGACAUAUAAAUCAAAUUCUUUUAAAGUAGAAGAAUCUGAAAUAUUUUUUCUUUGUUUUUCUCAAAUAACCUAUUCAAUCUUAUUUCAUAUGCGAACCCAUUAGUUCAUCAAAUAAAAAUAUAGAUAAAUCUUUUGACUCUUAUAACAAUAUGAUCAAAUUUCGGAGUUAAACUUUUCAAAACUUUUAUAACAAUUAUAUGAUAAGGAAGAUGUACACCAUAAAAUUUUAUUUAACUAACAAUAUCAAUCACUUGUGAAAGAAAAUCUUACAUCGAUUCAUUAUUUUUCAUGAAUAAAUUUUAAAUUCACCACGAAGGGUUUAAAGUUUUACUGUAAUCACCCUUGUUGAGCCUUGAAAUUCAUUUUGAAGUAUCAAUCAAACUUGCUUUAAGGUUAUUGCUAUUGUAAUUCUUGAGAAAAUUAUUUCAUGUAUAGCUUGUUGAAUGAACAACAAUGCCUUUGAGUUCUUAUUUCUAUUCUUCCUCAGCCUGAUUUUUUUAUGUAGACCUACAUAUCCAUUCUCUAUUAAGUCCCAAAGAUCUUGAGACUUGAAUAAAAUAUUUAUCUUGAUACUCUAAAAUUCAUAGCAUUUGUCCGAGAAGAUGGAAAUAAGGGGUUGAGACAUAAAAUUAUUAUUAAAAGUCAUAAUACCCAAUUCGGAUUGAAAACUUAGCUAUGAUACCAUAAAUGUUGAGGAUGAAGGAAUAAGGAAAUGAUAAAAACAGAAUACUAUGAUAUAAUUAAAAAAAAUAUUUUGAUCAAGAAAAUCGUUGUAGUAUUUAAAUAAGAUAUAAGAUAUGAACACUUACAAGAUAUUCUCAAGUGCACACUCUUUAUCUUAUUUCAUGAAUUAAGGUCUUAUUUAUAGGACAUAGUGGUAACUACCUCACUCCAUCAUGUCACCCGUGAUUGAAUUAGGUGUAGAAACUACCUUAUAAUUUUUAGAUCAUGGGUCAUUAUUUAAAAUAUGUCCACAACUAUUUAAAACAUGAUAACUAUCUAGAUAACUACUAUGAAUCAUUAAUUUUACGUUACUGUUUUCUUCGAGCGGAAGUGCUUCUAAAUGUGCUCGUGCAAUUGAUUAUCUUCUCAAUCGAUCUUGGUGUGCCAUUCGAUCAAACUCACGGUAUGGUGUUCGUGAACAAACGUUGAAGAUCAUGGAAGGAGUUUUUUUUUUGCUUGCUUGACGUAAUUGUGUGGAGAGAAACACACGAGGCAAGGGAAGUCCCUGUGUGGCCGGAGAAGGCAACGGAAGAUCAAGUGCAAGACAACCGAUGGCUUGGCUUUUUCUUCCCUGUAAAGGUGGAAGACGAGAUGGAUAGAUGAUCUAAUAUUAUAUUGCAUUGUUGAGGGUAUCCAAUCAUUGUACAUCUGUCCGUAGCCGUAGGAGUGUCCUAAAAAAGCAAUAACAGCUUGUUACUAAGACAUGUUUUAUAAACAAUCAAAACAAUUAAAUAUUACACGCAUUAUAUUAAGGCCGGCAGAAAAUGACUACUACUUUUCGAUACUCUCUUGUGUUGUGCUUACGUGAUUAUAGUAUGAUAUGAGACUGACAUAUGACCAACACUUCAGUAACGUACGACCUACACCUCAACCGGAGGAUCUCAUCCAAGCAAUGCAUAGUAGGCACUUUGACACUCAACGGUAGGAAUCUAAAGCUCUUCAACCCCUAAUGUAUGGAAUUUGAGGUGACUUCGUAAUUUUCUUUUACAAAUUUUAAUAAAUAUAUAUUUCUCUCUAAAUAUUAUUAUCAUUCAAAUAAAUCCUUCACAUUAACGUUCUUUAAAAAGAAACCAAGAUAACCACAAUAAUCAUGGUUUUCUUCAAUUGACCAUUUGACUUCAAACCAAUUUUUAACAUAAAAUAUUUUAUAUAUCUUACUAUCUUAAUAAGGCUUGUAAAAUGUAUCAAUGUCGCUCUAAUGGUGAAAUAACAGACAUGGAGAAUAAUUUUACAGUCUCCAUAUAUAAAUAAAAAAAUCACUCUAUGUAUAAGAACACACAAAGGUAUAAUUACACUAAAAACAAUACAAUUAUCGAUGCCCCUCGCAAAAAUAUUUUAUAUCGGUUGUAUUUAAUCGGCUCACGUCGAUCAAGGUUUGUGUUUUGUCGUUAAAUCAAUCAAGUUGUCCAUUUGAUAUCAUUCAUUUACGUGCAUUUGUCCAUCAAAUAAUAAUAGUUGGACCAUGAGUUGGCUAUCUUAUCUUCCUGCCCAUCAAAACCCUUCCAUGAUGUGGCAUCGAAUAAACUUACGAUUAAAACAUGAUGAAUCAACCCUUACAAUUUAUAACAAAUAAUUGGACCGAUUCUUCCAAAUUUUAUAGUCCCAUCGUGAGGGAUGCAUGACCAAACAACCUCGCCCACAGCAUUUGACGCAGCCAUCACUAACCUUAUCGCUUUUAAAUGCAUAGUAUGGUAAAAAUAAUGAUAAUAAACUCGCGUCACAAGUUGAUAUUUUUAUUGGUUUUAGUCAAUUUCCACUUGAAGCACGUGAAUGACGUAAAUGACAUUACAGUUCGCAUUGCGUACGCAUCUAACUCUUUUGACUGGAAGCUCCUCCAAUUGCAUGUCCAUGAAUCAGAUAUGGAUGAUAUGGUACCACUUUUCCAUUGUCUUCCCACGCACAUCAUCCACGGUUUCCACACAGACUAGUAGAAGUAAAAUUGCCAACUCAUCUACCUCCAUCUAUCAAUAUAUUAUAUAAUCUCGUUCUUGCAUCGCGUGUUCUGCGACCAUCAACCGGAGACAUUAACAAUUAUGAGCCAUUCCAACACGUCUAAGUACACGUCAGAUUCAUCGGGAUGGCAUAAUCUCUUGAUAAGUCAAUGGGCUUUACCUCCCUUAUUUUAUCUGAAUUUUUUUCUGACUGUGUAAACAAAUUCACCUAUAUAUACAGACAUGCCCGGAUCAACUCUGGACAACCAUCAUGGCCGCCACCCACAUUGCCCUGUUCGUUUCCGGCCUUGCCGUCUUGCUUCUCCUCGUCCAAGGAUCGCCGCCAGGGCCUGUUGUCCAGUGCCGGUCUGGCAACACUAACUGCACCGUGACCAACGGCUAUGGAGCCUUUCCUGAUCGCAGUACCUGCCGCGUCGCCGCGGUCGCGUACCCUUCGAACGAACAGGAGCUCCUGUUAGCUGUCUCCGACGCCACCGUGAAGCAGCAGCACGUGAAGGCGGUCACGGUGUACUCACACAGCAUCCCCAAGCUGUCGUGCCCCGGCGGGCCGAGCGGCCAGGGCCUGGUAAUCAGUACCCAGCGCCUCAACAGAUCGGUGAGCGUGGACUUGGCCACCUCGCGGAUGACGUUCGAGGCAGGGAUCACACUUAGGGCGCUCCUUGACGCGGCGGCCGCCCGUGGCCUGGCGCUGCCCCACUCGCCGUAUUGGCAAGGGGUGACGCUGGGCGGGCUGCUGAGCACCGGCUCACACGGGAGCUCGGUGUUCGGGAAAGGCUCGGCGGUGCACGAAUAUGUGGUAGGGAUGAGGCUGGUGGUUCCAAGUCCGGUCCCGGUGAACGGAUCCUACGCCAAGAUCGUUAAUCUUGGUGAGGACGAUCCUGAUCUCUUGGCUGCCAAGGUUUCUCUCGGUGUUCUUGGAGUUAUUUCUCAGGUAUAUAUGCGGUGACCUACUUGUUAUUCUUUGUUCUUUACACGGUUUGAGAUCCAUGUGAUAACUCAUCUUAGUUCUUCACGGUGUUUCUUCCAACCACGUCGAGUACUUUCAUAAACUGAGUACAUGACUUGCUACGUCUCGAUGCUAAUUAGGUGCAACUCUAUAUUUAAUUGUUCAUUCUAUUGUUAGUAUCAAGACUUUGUUUGCACUACGUCAGCAAAAUGUCGAGACAAAAAAAAACUUGUUUUCAGUCAAAUCACUUUGCGAAGGAAGACUUGUUCUUUUCCUCCAAUAUAUAAAGUUAUGUAAAAUAAUUGGCAGUUGAUGAUCCCAAUGGACUUUAGUUUUAAUCUUCCCUUCUUUUCUUGCUUUGCUUGUAUUCCUUUUUUGAAAAUGGGCUAAUGCAAACGUUUGAAUCGUUCUAUUGAUUCCAUGUACCUUCCCUCCUAGUUUGUAGUAACUACAUAGCACAGUUGAGUGUUAUGGAACAUAUGAGCACAUUCAAACCCACAUGGACAAAGAUCAGAGAAAAAGCAAACUUAAAUGAGAGUGAAGGCAUGAUUUGAAGCCAUCAUUUUACAUCUAUGGUUGUUCCAUCUAGUUAUAUCUUAUAGAUGUAGAGUUUUUUUCUUGGAAGAACAGCUACAGUGACGUUGAUGAUGACUCGGGGUAAAUGAGAGUGCCCCUUCCUUCACAUAUGGAGCCUCGCGCAAGGCAAGAGGCAGGCAGGUCUACGCUGCCUUGCCUUGCAGAGCUUACGACCGGGCCCGCCAUUGCCUUAAAAGCCUCAGUAACAAUUAUUAGGUUGAAGGACGAUAGGGGAUGUCAGUAGUAGUAGUUCUUGUUUCAAUCUUGUUGCCUGAAUAGCUGAAAAGAGUUGGUUUGCAAUACAAGUAAGCUUUUGUUCUGCUGCUUCAUUAUAAGUAACCUAAGAAUUACUUGAACCGAUCGCGCAGGUCACCCUCCAACUUGAGCCGAUGUUCAAGCGAUCCAUCACCAACAGGGUCGUAAGCGACGUUGGCUUCGAGCAAACCAUCUCCUCGUACGCUGUCACUACUCACUAUGGAGACAUCAUCUGGUAUCCAUCACAAGGCAGAGUGGUGUAUCGAGAUGAUAUCAAGGUCCCCAUCACCACCAAAGGAAAGGGUGUAAACAACUUCUUAGGGUUCCGAGCGCAGCCCACCCUUGUCAUAGCCUCUACACGUGCUUCAGGUGUUAUAAAUUGCAGCUUUUAUUUUGCUUGACAAUCUUGAUGUAGUGUUCGAGUAGUAUCGUACUUGAUUUAUACUAACAAGGCAUCUCUUGUCCUCUACGAUGUGUUUGUGUUUAUGACUGCAGAGGAACUAUCGGAACUAACAGGAAAUGCCGAAGGCAAAUGCGUGCUGUCCAGAUUGCAAGCGGAUACUCUGAUUGCGACCGGCAUGGGCCUUAAGAACAAUGAUGGCGGCUUGUUAGAUUUCACCGGCUAUCCGGUCGUUGGAAACCAAAGCGACAUGCAAUCCGCUGGUAGGUCCUCAAAUUAUUCCAGGAAUGUAUAUAAUGACACAUGUAACACCUGAAUUAUUUAGUCUGAGUCAUCUUCUCUCCAGGUUCAUGCCUACGGAGUGCAGAAGACAAACUUCUCACGGCUUGUGGAUGGGACCCUCGUUUUGCGGGGCUCUUCUACCACCAAUCCGCGAUAAGCAUCCCCUUCACCACCAUCGCUGACUUCAUCGCCGACGUCAAGAAGCUCCGCGACGCCCACCCCAACGCACUCUGCGGCACCGAGCUGUACUUGGGCUUCUUCAUGCGCUUCGUCCGCAGCUCCACAGCCUAUCUUGGCAAAACCGACGACGUGGUGGACAUCGACAUCACUUACUAUCGUUCCAAGGAUCCAAAACGGCCGCGACUCUACGAGGAUGUGAUCGAAGAGAUCGAACAGUUGG
rnacentral:lncRNA from 1 species